AAAUUACUCCCUCCGUUCGAAAUUAGUUGUCUUGAAUAUGGAUGUAUGUAGAACUAAAAUAUGUCUAGAUACAUUUAUUUCCGCGACAAGUAAUUCCGAACGGAGGAAGUACUAG
rfam:Triticum urartu cultivar G1812 contig131091, whole genome shotgun sequence.